AUUGAACGCUGGCGGCAGGCCUAACACAUGCAAGUCGAGCGGAUGAAGGGAGCUUGCUCCUGGAUUCAGCGGCGGACGGGUGAGUAAUGCCUAGGAAUCUGCCUGGUAGUGGGGGAUAACGUCCGGAAACGGGCGCUAAUACCGCAUACGUCCUGAGGGAGAAAGUGGGGGAUCUUCGGACCUCACGCUAUCAGAUGAGCCUAGGUCGGAUUAGCUAGGUGGUGGGGUAAAGGCCUACCAAGGCGACGAUCCGUAACUGGUCUGAGAGGAUGGUCAGUCACCCUGGAAGUGAGACACGGUCCAGACUCCUACGGGAGGCAGCAGUGGGGAAUAUUGGACAAUGGGCGAAAGCCUGAUCCAGCCAUGCCGCGUGUGUGAAGAAGGUCUUCGGAUUGUAAAGCACUUUAAGUUGGGAGGAAGGGCAGUACGUUAAUACCUUGCUGUUUUGACGUUACCAACAGAAUAAGCACCGGCUAACUUCGUG
rnacentral:rRNA from 1 species